CCCAACCCAUAUUGUUCAAACCCCACUAGCCACAAGCUUAUACGAAGCUAAAAAAUCUUGUUCUGGACUGCAAAAACUAAAGCCUAAUUCCAGUAAAUUACAAUCCGAGUCGGGCCGGCCCAACAAGCUUUAAUAUUAACUUUUGAUUUUGACUUUCGCCCUUCAAUUUUACUUUCACAUGUUGAAUUGUCACACUAAUUAAAAAAUAAUUAAUAAUGUAAUUAUUUUAUCAUAGAAGAAGUAUCUUACGAUAAUUAAGACACUACUGUUCUAUUGUUCCAUCUAUAGUUGAAAGACUACUAUAGUACGUAUGCUUUUUUAUUUUCUAUAAAUUCCAUAACUUUUAAUGUGAUAACUUUUAAUGUGCAUGUUACAUAGGAUAUUAUUUUAUUGAAGUCCAACCAAUAACAUUCAAAGUUAUUAGUCAAUUAAGAAACCAAAAUUGAUUUUUCCAUAUAAAAAAAAGCGAUCAGAUAUAGUUUUCUAGGCUGCAAUUGUGCAUCAAUAUAAACAGUUUUAAUAAACUGCUCAGAGCCCAGUGCGAUCAUCAUUUCAAUUUCAUGACCAAAAUUAUAUCUUCAGCAAAUCAAAAACAUAAUUUCAAAAUUAAUCAUCAAAAUAAAAUUUAAAAAAAUGGGGAAAAUCCUCAGAAAAAUAGCUUGUAAGUUGUCAUCAAGAUUGAGAAUUCAGGUCUCAAAGAUUUCAUGCCAUCAUAGGAAAAAAAACCCCACUAAUAUAGUCUCAAAACAAAUUGUCAAAAACAAUAAAAAUAAAAAAUAAAAAAUCAUCAAAAUAAAAUUUAAAAAAAUGGGGAAAAUCCUCAGAAAAAUAGCUUGUAAGUUGUCAUCAAGAUUGAGAAUUCAGGUCUCAAAGAUUUCAUGCCAUCAUAGGAAAAAAAACCCCACUAAUAUAGUCUCAAAACAAAUUGUCAAAAACAAUAAAAAUAAAAAAUAAAAAAUCAAAUAAUUUAGCAGGAUUUAAAUUCACUGCACCUAGUAAGAAUCAGUACGGGUGAAGCGACUCAACUUUCCUGCAAUUAAUUUCCGCCUUUUUUAUUUGCAUAAAUAUACAAAAAAUGAAUUUUAAAAAACCAUAUCAUAAAGUAUUUCAAGGCUUUUAAUUCAAAAGGCAAAAAAUUAUUCAGAUGAAAAAAAAAAAUUAUGAAUUCAAAAGCACAUAAAUUUGCAAAAAAAAAUAAAAAAUGUUGAAGACGAAGCAAAGAAUAAAUGGUAUAGUGAUUUAAGUCUUGAUGUCGUAUAUAUAGUAGAGAGGGUGGAACUAGGGUUUUACUUGAUAGAUUGGGCCAAGCAAGGCCCAUAUAUUUGCCAAGCCUAUGGGCCUCGAAACGGGUCAUUCUCACAAAUGUCCCUAUUUGAGGUGGUUUAGUUUUGAAACUUUGAGAAAUAACAUACGUAUAGGCGAAAAUGGGUCUGCAUCGGUACAAUUUGUAACCCGUGCAUCUGCUAUAGAUGUAUCAACUAUUAUCGGGUGUAUUCGUAUCAGCCAAACAAAAUAUCAUAUACUAUAAUAUAUAAAUACUAUGAUUAAAUUAUAUAUAAUAUAGUAGCAUAUAAAUACAAAUUCAAGAAAUACAAAAUUACAAUCAUAUGAAAUUGGUGAUAAGAAUCGAAUUCAAAUCGA
rnacentral:lncRNA from 1 species